UGGGGAAUAUUGCACAAUGGGCGCAAGCCUGAUGCAGCCAUGCCGCGUGUAUGAAGAAGGCCUUCGGGUUGUAAAGUACUUUCAGCGGGGAGGAAGGGAGUAAAGUUAAUACCUUUGCUCAUUGACGUUACCCGCAGAAGAAGCACCGGCUAACUCCGUGCCAGCAGCCGCGGUAAUACGGAGGGUGCAAGCGUUAAUCGGAAUUACUGGGCGUAAAGCGCACGCAGGCGGUUUGUUAAGUCAGAUGUGAAAUCCCCGGCCUCAACCUGGGAACUGCAUCUGAUACUGGCAAGCUUGAGUCUCGUAGAGGGGGGUAGAAUUCCAGGUGUAGCGGUGAAAUGCGUAGAGAUCUGGAGGAAUACCGGUGGCGAAGGUGGCCCCCUGGACGAAGACUGACGCUCAGGUGCGAAAGCGUGGGGAGCAAACAGG
rnacentral:rRNA from 1 species